AGAUUGAACGCUGGCGGCAUGCCUUACACAUGCAAGUCGAACGGCAGCACGGGAGCAAUCCUGGUGGCGAGUGGCGAACGGGUGAGUAAUACAUCGGAACGUGCCCAAUCGUGGGGGAUAACGCAGCGAAAGCUGUGCUAAUACCGCGUAAAGAUCUACGGAUGAAAGCAGGGGAUCGCAAGACCUUGCGCGAAUGGAGCGGCCGAUGGCAGAUUAGGUAGUUGGUGAGGUAAAGGCUCACCAAGCCUUCGAUCUGUAGCUGGUCUGAGAGGACGACCAGCCACACUGGGACUGAGACACGCCCAGACUCCUACGGAGCAGCAGUGGGGAAUUUUGGACAAGUGGGCGAAAGCCUGAUCCAGCCCAUCGCCGCGU
rnacentral:rRNA from 1 species